UCAGGGGGCAGCAUAGGAUGUCAAAAUGAUAGAAUGGCAAAACUAUAGAGAAAUCUGGAAGUCAUUGUCGUAAGAAUCUCUGAAAAAGUGAAUUUCUAAAUUAGGCAAAAAUUAUUUCUUGAAGUAUUAUUCCACGUUUGAAGCAGAAGUCGGUUUUGCUUUUCACACCGAUUUGAGUUCCUGGCAGUAUAUAUCCGCAUCUGAAUUGUAACCUCCAAGUCGGGCGAAGGCUGAGUUGGCACUUUCAGAAGUUUGCUAACACUCGCCAAUAACGCCAACGGUACAGAUCUAGGUUGUUCAAUUUAGUUCAGGGUGAAAAGAAGGGCGACCAAAUUGUAAGUACAAUGAGUUGGUAUCUAAACCUUUAUUAAUAAAGCUCCAUUU